rnacentral:rRNA from 1 species
GUGUCAGCAGCCGCGGUAAUACGGAGGGUGCAAGCGUUAUCCGGAUUUACUGGGUUUAAAGGGUGCGUAGGUGGAUUGGGUAGUCAGUGGUGAAAUACUUUCGCUUAACGAAGGAACUGCCAUUGAUACUCUCAAUCUUGAAUACAGUGGAGGCAGGCGGAAUGUGUCAUGUAGCGGUGAAAUGCUUAGAUAUGACACAGAACACCUAUUGCGAAGGCAGCUUGCUACACUGUGAUUGACACUGAGGCACGAAAGCGUGGGGAUCAAACAGGAUUAGAUACCCUGGUAGUCC